UACACGGUAAACAUGUUUUGACAGCCAUUAUAUCUGAUAAAUCUUUUGAAGAUGACUAAAAUUUCUUCAUUGACGUGUCUGAAUGUUGAAAGGAUCAUGAAAGGAUAUCAAAUUAUGUUUAUCUGUCAUCCACUGUUUGCAAUAGUGGUAAAACUUAUUUUGACAUAAACCAGUAUGGUAUCAUCUACUUUUGAGCAUGGUGAACAUUUACAGUGAAAUUAAAGUGCGCGACUACAAUAGAAAUUAUUAUAUGAAUGACAAUUGUGUAAUAUUAACUAAGCUGCAGGAAUAGGAGUACCAAAAUCUGCAUAAGAUUUUUGUCGUGCCAGAUUGACUGCAUAUUCAGAAGAGGAUACUUUUAUACCUUUUGCAGAGGCAUAUAGACUGUUGAAGAUGUGUACUGAGUAUCUUUCGUUUUGUAUGUAAACUAAGAAGAGUUGACUACACUAAGUACAAAUGCUGUAAUAUUGUUAUGUCCAAAAACGGCCAAUAACCAAGAAAAGAGAAUUGUACAUAAUAAACCCGAUAACAUGCACCUGUCAAAUUUAUGUUGAUGAUGUAUCCGAACUUCCAUUUGAAUUAGAUGGAAGCCGUAGAAGAAGUUGAGUAAGCAAUGUACAAAUGUAGUUGAAAUAUCAUGAAGUCCAACAAAGGGGCAUAACUGUAGAACACAAAGGUCCCGACAUGAUGCACCAUUUCACGUUGAUGUUUUAUACCAGAUUUCAUUUAAAAAGGAUUAGAACCUGUAGGAGAUGAGUACACAAGAAUGUGUGAUGGACUGACGAAAUGAUGGAUAGACAGAUCAAACACUAAAUACCUCCCGGGUCUACGAUGUAUGAUUGAAGAUGAGUCAUUGAAUAAAACAGCUUUAUUUGUACCUAGCGGUGUAAUAGUGUGUUCGCUUAGAGCCAUAUUUUGGGUCCCGUGCGAUUGGAAAAACGAUUAAUGGCGACAUAUACCAAUCUGUUUCGUAAUGUCUGAAGAUCAUUCUAAACCAUGCCGCCAGUCUGAAUUCUGCGACUGGACCGUGUUAUGACGUCAUCAAAAUGGCGGCCACAUUUUAAAAUCCAAUUUAUCAUCAUCUUCAAAUAUUGAUCGGACUUAUUUGUUUUUGAUGCUGAAAGUGGCUUUUUUGUAGUUUACAUCGUACACAUACAUAAUUAUUUAGCAUUAUAUUAUUUUGAAUAAAAGGAUUAUGCCAAAAUUUCAUAUUUGAAUAUAUGAACAAUUAUCGCAUAUUAUUUAUGGAAUGAUAAAAUAAACAUGUUUGUGAGUAUGAACAGUAGUGUGUCAGGUUUAAAUACUACAUGCUCAUUAAUGUGUAAGUAAGCACAUUAUAUGUGGUACGCCACUAAAAAUCUAGAAGUUUGUUUGAAACAAAUGGUUGUUACUUAUAGCCAUUUAAUUGUGAUUGCAGUAUACACAGUAAGUUUAUUUAUUUAGCCAAGAUAAAUAUGUUUAAUGAGGAUUUUCUAGAUUUAGAUUAAUAUGCAAUGUUGAAAUAUUUAUGUAAAAGGUGAGCAUAGUACAUCUUAAAAGGAACAUGAAAUAAAACAAAAGAUUUGGUGAAGUAA
rnacentral:misc_RNA from 1 species